rnacentral:rRNA from 1 species
UACGAAGGGGGCUAGCGUUGUUCGGAAUUACUGGGCGUAAAGCGCGCGUAGGCGGGUCGCUAAGUCAGAGGUGAAAUGCCGAGGCUCAACCUCGGAACUGCCUUUGAUACUGGCGACCUGGAGUUCGGGAGAGGUGAGUGGAAUUCCGAGUGUAGAGGUGAAAUUCGUAGAUAUUCGGAGGAACACCAGAAGCGAAGGCGGCUCACUGGCCCGAUACUGACGCUGAGGCGCGAAAGCGUGGGGAGCAAACAGG